rnacentral:lncRNA from 1 species
CACAGAGCCUGUCAUUGUCUACAUCGCCCCUACCUGGCAUGAAGCAGGGUUUAAUUUAUCAGCACUGCUGGGAUGAAGAAAUGUGAUGAAAUCAAAACACUGCUAGUCAAAGCCCACCCUCUUGUUUUGCUGCAAUCUUUGCCGUCGUUCUCUAUCUGUCUCUGCACCCCCCCCCCCCCCCAUGCACUUUGAAGCCUCUUUGCUGAAGGGAGCCUGACUCAGCAGACGGGCUUGUUUCAGCUCAACAAGACUGACGCGAGCUCCAAUGUCAGGCAACCUUGGCAGAGACUUAUGAGUCUGACGCUGGCAUGCAAAUAAAUUAAACACAACGUCGGAUCACAAAUCACAUGUUCAAAGUGGGAGGUGACACUUCGAUGCGCUUGAAUAAAAGCACCAGGAUGAAGGGGGUAUGUGUGUGUGUGUGUGUGUGUGUGGGGGGGGGGGGGGAUUCCUCUGCACUGAAUGACAACGACAUAGCAACAGGAUUGCGUCACAGGCAGAAAAAGGAGGUGAAUGGGAGGAGGGAGCGCCAGGACGCGUUGGCAGGAGGUGUAAAAAUGAUUGUCGGUGUAGCUGACCGAGUUGAGGUCGAGGCCCUCUCCUCCCCCUCCCGUCUCUGCUCUGUUCCUGAAGAGACCAGCAAUGACCACUCACCUCAUCAGCCUGCCGCCCUCUUAAGGAGAUCCAGUUCCAGUAUUCAUCGCCAGUUCGUUUUUACUGUACGGUGCAUAGUCUGGUCGCCUCAUGCAUCUUGAUCAUGCUUUGUUUCCUCUCGCUAAUUUUCUCCUUAUGCCUCACCUACAGGAAAAGAUACCCACCUGGUUACUGUGAUUAUUCCAUGCUCCUCGUCUUCGCCUCAGAUCCAGUUCAAGUCAAGCCCUCCAGAUCGGCCACUGCCAAACCCUCCAGCCACGCCUUGCCUCCUAGCCAAGACUCCUGAUCCGCAUCUUACCAUGUACCAUCUGAACUCUGCCUUCAAGUUUGCCACUGAACUUACAGACUGUAAAUUAAAUCAUCCUACUUACCUAACGUUCUCCUGGUUUUUCUUCCGGGUUCCACCAUUUGGGUCUGCCAAGUCUAGUGAUAUCAUGACAGUAUAUGGUGUGUAUAGGGCUAUUCUACCUUGCUUUAAGACACAAAAAGCGUGUUGUCAAAGGAAAGAAGAAAACAAGAAAGCUGGAAUACAAGCCAUACAGCAUGAGAUGUUUACUGAAAAUGAUUGAAAAAUGAUUGAAAAUGAAAAAUGAUUUUGUUAGCUGGUUAAAUUCCAGUAAAUUCAGGACACAAACAUAAAAGCAUGCAGUACAGAAAUAAUUUAAGCUAUAGAGGAAUUCAUGCUUAGUGCCAAUUCUGAUAGAAGUUGUGUAUACAUGUUGAUCAAAUCAGACUUAGAAUUUUAAUUUGACUUUUAAUCUCAGAUUUUUUACAAACCAAAGAUUGUUAACCUGAUUUAUGCCAUAGAUCCCCCUAAAGGAUACAAAGAAAACACUUUGUUAGUAAAAACAAAAGACCUUUUUAAAACUAAAAGUUAUCUGACAUUAAGUCCUCAGAUUAAUUAAGGAACUUCGAUGGCCGCACUUAGAAACACUGCCAUCAAUAUCCAUUGCUUCUAAUCCAUUCAUAUUUUAUAUAUCUGUAUGCAUAGUUAUCCUUGACGGCAGAACAACAUAUUUAAAAUAUAACGCCAAUAACAGAAACAAGCAUUUCAACCUUUCUCGACUGACAGUGCAGCAAUUAAUUUGCGCCGGUUCUGUCUCGCUGUGUCUGUUAAUGGAGCACUGUGCUCUUGAUGGUGGGUAAAGAAAAAAAGUUUUAUUCCAAACAGACACAAGACAGACCUUGGUGAGGGAAAUGGCAGGAGAGAUGGGCCUGCAGUUUUGAGCAAGAGGAGCAAUUGUUUCUUUAGUCUCCAGGGGACUAAAGUAAGAGUGCCAGCCAUCCAUUUUUAAAUGGUUGGAAAAGAAGGAAGAAGAAAAGGAUCCACAAGACCUUUAGAAUGUGGAUUUCCAGCUGUCUACCAGCUGUCCCCAAUUUACCCCCUUCCUCAUAUAAUCUCAUAAUAGGGUGAGGAGGUGGGGG